UACAGAGGGGGCAAGCGUUGUUCGGAAUUACUGGGCGUAAAGGGCGCGUAGGCGGCCUGCUAAGUCGAACGUGAAAUCCCCGAGCUCAACUCGGGAACUGCGUCCGAUACUGACAGGCUUGAAUCCGGGAGAGGGAUGCGGAAUUCCAGGUGUAGCGGUGAAAUGCGUAGAUAUCGGAAGGAACAUCAGUGGCGAAAGCGACUUCCUGGACCAAUACUGACGCUCAUGUGCGAAAGCGUGGGGAGCAAACAGG
rnacentral:rRNA from 1 species